CAGCAAUGCCAGAUCCUUAACCCACUGAAUGGAGCUAGGGAUUGAACCCAUGUCCUUAUGGAUACUAGUUGGACUUGUUACAGCUGAGCCACAAUGGGAACUCUGGAAGAAGAAAUCUUAUGAUAAAGGGAUCACUUUAAAGACAAUGUGGUGGUUGCUGCUAACCGAGAGAAGCCCCCAAACUGACAUGAGUGGUGACAGCAGUGAGGGACAUGGUAUUCACUAGAGACCUUUGGGGGGGUCUGAAACAUUUGACCUUUAUUUAGUGCAUGCCCACUGAAAUCAAAUGCAGAGCCUUGCUUAUCAACUUGGAGCUGCUCUUACUCUCCAUGUCCCCUUCUCUUCCACCCCAACUUCAGUUUCAUUAAAGAGGAAGACGAUCAAGGGUGAGUCCCAUGCCCCCUGUCUGAGUAUCCUGGGAGGCUUCACAGAGGAGAGAGCAUCAAACCUGCAUAGCUCUGUUGGAUGUAGCCCCAAGUCAUUAUCCUACCCGUUUUUGUGGGAGGAGAGCCCCCAGAAUUCUGUGGGUGGAGUUUGGGCAAUUUUUGCAGUGGAGAAGGGAAAUUUGUGGCCCUGUUGGGUGGAGGCCUUUGAGCCUACUCAGUGUGUGGUUGUAGCUUCCAUAAGUUGGUGUAAAUCGUAUCCAUGUUCACAUGUGUGUGCUGUGAAUGCUUGAAAAUGCCAGAGGUCAUUCUCAGGUUUGGGAAGAGGUGCAUGUAGAGGAUGUACUGGUACCUUUGGAUCCCUGCAACUCUAAUGACCCCUUUGAGCUACAGGUCUCUGUGACUGAUGACUUACCCAGUUAGAGUCUGGCAAAAAGGAACAUCUUUCUUCUGAGAUGUUCCUGGGCUGUUUGGACUCCUUGGCCCCCUCGCCCCCUGAUACCACUCUCCUUUUGAAAAACAGCCAGGAACUUGUUACUGGGCUGUUCUUGCAACUGACUCAUGGAAGCUUUGUGACUCUGGCAUGAGAGUCUCCAGGGUGAAGCAACUGGAGUCAAAGACGAGCAAGAUGGGGAGGGCCAGACCGGCCUCACUGUCAGAUGGAAAUGCUGAAGUCCACAGCCAGGGCAACACCGGAUCCGAGACUCAUCUGCGAUCCGUGCUGCAGCUUUCGGCAAUGCUGGGUUCUUAACCUGCUGAACAAGGUCAGGUAUCAAAUCUACAUCCUCACUGACACUAUGUUGGGUUCUUAACCCAUUGAGCCACAAUGGGUCCACAACUCCAGGUCCGAAUAUCUUAAGGCAGUUUGGUCACUGAAUGUGGCUCUGCUCAGAAAGGGACCAUCUUCUCUCAGCCACAUUCUGGUUAAUGAUUAGGAUAAUAUAUUAUUAUUUUAUAAUUUGGGAUUUCUCCCUGACAGUAUCUGGGCAUGAUGCUUUUCUAUUCACACAUAGCAGCCCCAAGCCAGUAAAUUGAAUGGCCAGCUAAAAGGGGGCCUAGGGCUUUAAACUGGCUCAGCCUCCUAGAUUUUCUUGUUGGGCUGAGAUAGCCCAUAUCGCAAGGCUGAUCAUCACGUGGUUAAGUACACCUCCUUGGGACUCACCCAGUGGUUCCUGCAGGCCAAAGUUGGGAGGCAUAAUGAGUUUCUGUAAGUUUUAUAAAAUGCCUUAUCCCUUUUGUCCCUGACUCUUCCACAUGAGAGAUCUUCGUGUGAGUAAAGAUGAUUGGAUGAAGGGUGAAGUUAUAGCUCCUGGAAUGGGGCAAACUGAUUUUGUGGUGUUGGAGAGAAAGAACAAGUCCAACACUCAAGGUCAGAACACUUUAGGCUGCAGGAGAGGUGGAGGAAACUCUAAAUGAUCUCCUGUCUUUCCGAGUCACCUUGGAUCUUUCCUCAGGAAGGAGAAUGCACUGGUGUGGCCCUCCCAGUGUAGCAACCACCUUAAAUGGAACUGCCUGCUGAAUCUGCCACCCCAACCCUACCUCCACCUCCACCCCCACCUCCAGAUGGCUCUGACCAUAAUUUUGAUUGCCAUUCCCUUUGAUCUUGUCAAGAAAUCUAUCAGAUAAAGCAGAGGAUCACCCCAGAUUCUGCAUGUCUCAUAUAAAACACUGGUUAACACUUUCUGAUGUCUUCCAGUCCCAUAACCAUUGCUUCAUCUUUCUAGGGGGUAAACACAUGCCACCUUUCUGGGGGUUUGGAUAGAAAGGACAAUUUGGAUUUGGACUGUCAGCCCUCAGACAAUCCCUCCAAAAACAGGGACUAGGUUCAGUUAUUCAAACUGAGCUGAAAACUCUAACUGAAGCUUACCAGCUUGCUAGGAGGCCCUGUGAGGAACUGUGAACCUGUGCCCUUUGAAUGAUGGAGGCUCACUUGAGGCUAAUAACUGUAAAAACAUUUUCUUUCCAGGGACCCCAUGUGUGACUUCUGGACUUAGUUUCUUGUGUGGAAGCCAGGAGUUACUUGUAUCUCCUGAAAACCCCCAUCGGGGCAGUCUAAGAGACCUGUGAGUGUUGAAGAAACACCACUGGCAGAUCACAUGGCCCUCAGAUGCCUGCAAAGAUCUCACACAAAUGGGGCUCUCUGGAAAGGUAACUGAUUCAUUCUUCACUCACACCUUGUGGACAGCGAUCCCUCUAACAGGAGUGACCCAACUAGAAAAGGUGGUGCAGAAUUUUGUGAUUUUUGCUGAAGUGAUCAGUGACACUGCCUUGACCAUGGAAGGAUUUCAGCUUGGCUUCAGCUCCUUAGCCAAAGCUGUUAUGAAUGAGAGGGUUGCCCUACACUUCCUCCUCAUGGGCCAAGGUGGGUUUUGUGUGAUCUCAAGUACAUCUUGCUGUGCAUGGAUUAAUGCCUUAGACCAAGUGGGAAGGUCAUUACAGAAAUGUGGCUUUUCAAAGUAGACUCCAAUAGUUUUGGGGAUUUGUUAAGCAGGUUGGUCCUAGGACACUGGGGGCCAUGGCUGAGAUCCAUAUAGGAUGAUCUUAUCGUGUCAGAGUCCUAUUUGACAGUAGCCUUAAUUAAAUGCUGUGCUAGACAAGUUGAUUUGGUUCCAGCCUCUGUUGGUUAGAUUAACUACAGUGCUGAUGGACUGGAGUGGCAUAAUUAUGUGCAGAAACUAACAUGUGUGGAAAGUGGGUAUUGUUGGGCGAUAGCUUUCUGUAGACCUCUCACAUUCCUGCAUGUCUUGUAAACAGUGGUCCUGAGUGUCUUUGUUCCAGACUAUCUGUUUAAGGAUGUUUGUAAAGGAAACAACCUUGGAAGAUGCAGCGUCACCUUUUAGGGUGAAUGCUUAGAACCUUGGAAGAUACAGUGUUUACCUCUGGGGCAAAGGGCAGAGAAAUGUUUAUUGUCCAGUAUAAAAAGAUUUGGGGAGGUCCUGUCAUGGCUCAGUGGUUAACGAAUCCAACUAGGAACCAUGAGGUUGCUGGUUCAAUCCCUGGCCUAGCUCAGUGGGUUAAGGAUUCAGCAUUGCCAUGGGCUGUGGUGUAGGUUGCAAACACAGCUCGGAUCCCACGUUGCUGUGG
rnacentral:lncRNA from 1 species